UGAACGCUGGCGGCGUGCCUAAUACAUGCAAGUCGAACGAGUUCUGAUUAUUGAAAGGUGCUUGCAUCUUGAUUUUAAUUUUGAACGAGUGGCGGACGGGUGAGUAACACGUGGGUAACCUGCCCUUAAGUGGGGGAUAACAUUUGGAAACAGAUGCUAAUACCGCAUAAAUCCAAGAACCGCAUGGUUCUUGGCUGAAAGAUGGCGUAAGCUAUCGCUUUUGGAUGGACCCGCGGCGUAUUAGCUAGUUGGUGAGGUAACGGCUCACCAAGGCAAUGAUACGUAGCCGAACUGAGAGGUUGAUCGGCCACAUUGGGACUGAGACACGGCCCAAACUCCUACGGGAGGCAGCAGUAGGGAAUCUUCCACAAUGGACGCAAGUCUGAUGGAGCAACGCCGCGUGAGUGAAGAAGGCUUUCGGGUCGUAAAACUCUGUUGUUGGAGAAGAAUGGUCGGCAGAGUAACUGUUGUCGGCGUGACGGUAUCCAACCAGAAAGCCACGGCUAACUACGUGCCAGCAGCCGCGGUAAUACGUAGGUGGCAAGCGUUAUCCGGAUUUAUUGGGCGUAAAGCGAGCGCAGGCGGUUUUUUAAGUCUGAUGUGAAAGCCCUCGGCUUAACCGAGGAAGUGCAUCGGAAACUGGGAAACUUGAGUGCAGAAGAGGACAGUGGAACUCCAUGUGUAGCGGUGAAAUGCGUAGAUAUAUGGAAGAACACCAGUGGCGAAGGCGGCUGUCUGGUCUGUAACUGACGCUGAGGCUCGAAAGCAUGGGUAGCGAACAGGAUUAGAUACCCUGGUAGUCCAUGCCGUAAACGAUGAAUGCUAGGUGUUGGAGGGUUUCCGCCCUUCAGUGCCGCAGCUAACGCAUUAAGCAUUCCGCCUGGGGAGUAGGACCGCAAGGUUGAAACUCAAAGGAAUUGACGGGGGCCCGCACAAGCGGUGGAGCAUGUGGUUUAAUUCGAAGCAACGCGAAGAACCUUACCAGGUCUUGACAUCUUUUGAUCACCUGAGAGAUCAGGUUUCCCCUUCGGGGGCAAAAUGACAGGUGGUGCAUGGUUGUCGUCAGCUCGUGUCGUGAGAUGUUGGGUUAAGUCCCGCAACGAGCGCAACCCUUAUGACUAGUUGCCAGCAUUUAGUUGGGCACUCUAGUAAGACUGCCGGUGACAAACCGGAGGAAGGUGGGGAUGACGUCAAAUCAUCAUGCCCCUUAUGACCUGGGCUACACACGUGCUACAAUGGAUGGUACAACGAGUUGCGAGACCGCGAGGUCAAGCUAAUCUCUUAAAGCCAUUCUCAGUUCGGACUGUAGGCUGCAACUCGCCUACACGAAGUCGGAAUCGCUAGUAAUCGCGGAUCAGCACGCCGCGGUGAAUACGUUCCCGGGCCUUGUACACACCGCCCGUCACACCAUGAGAGUUUGUAACACCCGAAGCCGGUGGCGUAACCCUUUUAGGGAGCGAGCCGUCUAAGGUGGGACAAAUGAUUAGGGUGAAG
rnacentral:rRNA from 1 species